rnacentral:rRNA from 1 species
UUGCUCCUUUGACGUUAGCGGCGGACGGGUGAGUAACACGUGGGUAACCUACCUAUAAGACUGGGAUAACUUCGGGAAACCGGAGCUAAUACCGGAUAAUAUUUCGAACCGCAUGGUUCGAUAGUGAAAGAUGGCUCUGCUAUCACUUAUAGAUGGACCUGCGCCGUAUUAGCUAGUUGGUAAGGUAACGGCUUACCAAGGCAACGAUACGUAGCCGACCUGAGAGGGUGAUCGGCCACACUGGAACUGAGACACGGUCCAGACUCCUACGGGAGGCAGCAGUAGGGAAUCUUCCGCAAUGGGCGAAAGCCUGACGGAGCAACGCCGCGUGAGUGAUGAAGGUCUUCGGAUCGUAAAACUCUGUUAUUAGGGAAGAACAAACGUGUAAGUAACUGUGCACGUCUUGACGGUACCUAAUCAGAAAGCCACGGCUAACUACGUGCCAGCAGCCGCGGUAAUACGUAGGUGGCAAGCGUUAUCCGGAAUUAUUGGGCGUAAAGCGCGCGUAGGCGGUUUUUUAAGUCUGAUGUGAAAGCCCACGGCUCAACCGUGGAGGGUCAUUGGAAACUGGAAAACUUGAGUGCAGAAGAGGAAAGUGGAAUUCCAUGUGUAGCGGUGAAAUGCGCAGAGAUAUGGAGGAACACCAGUGGCGAAGGCGACUUUCUGGUCUGUAACUGACGCUGAUGUGCGAAAGCGUGGGGAUCAAACAGGAUUAGAUACCCUGGUAGUCCACGCCGUAAACGAUGAGUGCUAAG